rnacentral:rRNA from 1 species
AUUGAACGCUGGCGGCAGGCCUAACACAUGCAAGUCGAGCGGGGUUUUCGGACCUAGCGGCGGACGGGUGAGUAAUGCGUAGGAAGCUGCCCGAUAGAGGGGGAUACCAGUUGGAAACGACUGUUAAUACCGCAUAAUGUCUACGGACCAAAGUGUGGGACCUUCGGGCCACAUGCUAUCGGAUGCGCCUACGUGGGAUUAGCUAGUUGGUGAGGUAAUGGCUCACCAAGGCGACGAUCUCUAGCUGGUUUGAGAGGAUGAUCAGCCACACUGGACCUGAGACACGGUCCAGACUCAUACGGGAGGCAGCAGUGGGGAAUAUUGGACAAUGGGCGCAAGCCUGAUCCAGCCAUGCCGCGUGUGUGAAGAAGGCCUUCGGGUUGUAAAGCACUUUCAGCGAGGAGGAAGGGGUGUGUGUUAAUAGUACACACCUUUGACGUUACUCGCAGAAGAAGCACCGGCUAACUCUGUGCCAGCCGCCGCCGUAAUAC